rnacentral:lncRNA from 1 species
UAACUACUUUGUCAUAACUAAUUUGACCAAAUUCAAUUAUAAGAAACACUAAAGCAUAACUAACUUUUUAGUUAGAUGAUUUGAGACAUAUCUUCACAGUUUACAUGACAAUUAAUCCAAAAUCAUAUUCAAACAAAAGAUAAUUUGGUUAGUAGAGCAAUAAUUGGUGGUGUAGAUACUUUAUGUAUUAAGAGGGGUGCAGGGAAAUUAAAAUGGUGGAUCACUUAUUUUUUUAAUGUUCAAUUUUUUCAAAAGUUUGGUCACUAAUGGAAUGGUUGAGCAUUCAAAUGGUAUUUCAUAAUCGAGGUAACUCUCACUUCAUUUUUCUAGAUUUGCAUUUGGUUGAAGAGUAUUACGAUCCAAGUUUUGAACUAUUUGGUUUGGUUGCAUUUGGCAAUUUGAAGAGCACGAAAUAGAAGAAUUUCAAGGAAAAAAAAAAAGGUUGUGGAAGAGAUAGUGGAACAAGUAAAACUUUAUUCAUGGGAGUGAUUGAAAGCAAAACAAGUUGGUUUUGGGAAUUAUAAUGGUUCCUUCAUCUUCUGAAGUGUUUAGAUGUUGCAAAGUAUGGUGGACUACUAAGGGAGGCAACCUAGCCUCUUAUGUUCACAUAAAUGGGCAUUAUGCAGUCACAUGCGUUGACUUAUUUUUGGAUGUAUUGAUAUGCAUUUUCACUAGUUUGAUUUUGGUGCUACUAAUUAGAGAUAAUAUAUCAAUUAUUGAGGUUGUAAUGUGUUG